UACGUAGGGUGCGAGCGUUGUCCGGAUUUAUUGGGCGUAAAGAGCUCGUAGGCGGUUUGUCGCGUCGGCCGUGAAAUCUCCACGCUUAACGUGGAGCGUGCGGUCGAUACGGGCAGACUAGAGUUCGGUAGGGGAGACUGGAAUUCCUGGUGUAGCGGUGAAAUGCGCAGAUAUCAGGAGGAACACCGAUGGCGAAGGCAGGUCACUGGGCCGCAACUGACGCUGAGGAGCGAAAGCAUGGGGAGCGAACAGG
rnacentral:rRNA from 1 species